UACGGAGGGUGCAAACGUUGCUCGGAAUCAUUGGGCGUAAAGCGCACGUAGGCGGCCUGUUAAGUCGGGUGUGAAAGCCCUGGGCUCAACCCAGGAAGUGCACUCGAAACUGGCGGGCUUGAAUAUGGAAGAGGGUCGCGGAAUUCCCGGUGUAGAGGUGAAAUUCGUAGAUAUCAGGAGGAACACCUGUGGCGAAAGCGGCUCACUGGACCACAACUGACGCUGAUGCACGAAAGCUAGGGGAGCAAACAGG
rnacentral:rRNA from 1 species